AGGAGAGAUGGCUGAGCGGUUUAAGGCGCAGCAUUGGAAAUGCUGUUUAAGUAUUGCUUACCGAGGGUUCGAAUCCCUCUCUCUCCUA
rnacentral:tRNA from 1 species